GCCCCCAUCGUCUAGUGGACCAGGACGCGGCCCUUUCAAGGCCUAAACCGGAGUUCGAAUCUCCGUGGGGGCA
rnacentral:tRNA from 1 species